rnacentral:rRNA from 1 species
CCUACGGGAGGCAGCAGUGAGGAAUAUUGGUCAAUGGGAGAGAUCCUGAACCAGCCAAGCCGCGUGAGGGAAGACGGCCCUAUGGGUUGUAAACCUCUUUUGUCGGAGAACAAAACCCGGGACGUGUCCCGGACUGCGUGUAUCCGAAGAAAAAGCAUCGGCUAACUCCGUGCCAGCAGCCGCGGUAAUACGGAGGAGGCGAGCGUUAUCCGGAUUUAUUGGGUUUAAAGGGUGCGUAGGCGGUCCGUUAAGUCAGCGGGAAAAUUGCGGGGCUCAACCCUGUCGAGCCGUUGAAACUGGCAGACUUGAGUUGGCGAGAAGUAGGCGGAAUGCGCGGUGUAGCGGUGAAAUGCAUAGAUAUCGCGCAGAACUCCGAUUGCGAAGGCAGCGUACCGGCGCCAGACUGACGCUGAGGCACGAAAGCGUGGGGAUCGAACAGGAUUAGAUACCCUAGUAGUC